rnacentral:rRNA from 1 species
GACGAACGCUGGCGGCGUGCCUAAUACAUGCAAGUCGAGCGGAUUAGAUAGAAAGCUUGCUUUCAAUCUGGUUAGCGGCGGACGGGUGAGUAACACGUAGGCAACCUGCCUGUAAGACUGGGAUAACAUUCGGAAACGAAUGCUAAUACCAGAUACGCGAUUUCCUCGCAUGGGGUGAUCGGGCAAGACGGAGCAAUCUGUCACUUGCAGAUGGGCCUGCGGCGCAUUAGCUAGUUGGUGGGGUAACGGCCUACCAAGGCGACGAUGCGUAGCCAACCUGAGAGGGUGAUCGGCCACACUGGGACUGAGACACGGCCCAGACUCCUACGGGAGGCAGCAGUAGGGAAUCUUCCGCAAUGGACGAAAGUCUGACGGAGCAACGCCGCGUGAGUGAUGAAGGCUUUCGGGUCGUAAAGCUCUGUUGCCAGGGAAGAACACUUGGGAGAGUAACUGCUCUUAAGGUGACGGUACCUGAGAAGAAAGCCCCGGCUAACUACGUGCCAGCCGCCGCGGUAAAAC